rnacentral:rRNA from 1 species
AGCGUACACGGUGGAUGCCCUGGCAGUCAGAGGCGAUGAAGGACGUGCUAAUCUGCGAUAAGCGUCGGUAAGGUGAUAUGAACCGUUAUAACCGGCGAUUUCCGAAUGGGGAAACCCAGUGUGAUUCGUCACACUAUCAUUAACUGAAUCCAUAGGUUAAUGAGGCGAACCGGGGGAACUGAAACAUCUAAGUACCCCGAGGAAAAGAAAUCAACCGAGAUUCCCCCAGUAGCGGCGAGCGAACGGGGAGCAGCCCAGAGCCUGAAUCAGUGUGUGUGUUAGUGGAAGCGUCUGGAAAGGCGCGCGAUACAGGGUGACAGCCCCGUACACAAAAAUGCACAUGCUGUGAGCUCGAUGAGUAGGGCGGGACACGUGGUAUCCUGUCUGAAUAUGGGGGGACCAUCCUCCAAGGCUAAAUACUCCUGACUGACCGAUAGUGAACCAGUACCGUGAGGGAAAGGCGAAAAGAACCCCGGCGAGGGGAGUGAAAAAGAACCUGAAACCGUGUACGUACAAGCAGUGGGAGCACAGAGCAAUCUGUGUGACUGCGUACCUUUUGUAUAAUGGGUCAGCGACUUAUAUUCUGUAGCAAGGUUAACCGAAUAGGGGAGCCGAAGGGAAACCGAGUCUUAACUGGGCGUUAAGUUGCAGGGUAUAGACCCGAAACCCGGUGAUCUAGCCAUGGGCAGGUUGAAGGUUGGGUAACACUAACUGGAGGACCGAACCGACUAAUGUUGAAAAAUUAGCGGAUGACUUGUGGCUGGGGGUGAAAGGCCAAUCAAACCGGGAGAUAGCUGGUUCUCCCCGAAAGCUAUUUAGGUAGCGCCUCGUGAAUUCAUCUCCGGGGGUAGAGCACUGUUUCGGCAAGGGGGUCAUCCCGACUUACCAACCCGAUGCAAACUGCGAAUACCGGAGAAUGUUAUCACGGGAGACACACGGCGGGUGCUAACGUCCGUCGUGAAGAGGGAAACAACCCAGACCGCCAGCUAAGGUCCCAAAGUCAUGGUUAAGUGGGAAACGAUGUGGGAAGGCCCAGACAGCCAGGAUGUUGGCUUAGAAGCAGCCAUCAUUUAAAGAAAGCGUAAUAGCUCACUGGUCGAGUCGGCCUGCGCGGAAGAUGUAACGGGGCUAAACCAUGCACCGAAGCUGCGGCAGCGACGCUUAUGCGUUGUUGGGUAGGGGAGCGUUCUGUAAGCCUGUGAAGGUGUACUGUGAGGUAUGCUGGAGGUAUCAGAAGUGCGAAUGCUGACAUAAGUAACGAUAAAGCGGGUGAAAAGCCCGCUCGCCGGAAGACCAAGGGUUCCUGUCCAACGUUAAUCGGGGCAGGGUGAGUCGACCCCUAAGGCGAGGCCGAAAGGCGUAGUCGAUGGGAAACAGGUUAAUAUUCCUGUACUUGGUGUUACUGCGAAGGGGGGACGGAGAAGGCUAUGUUGGCCGGGCGACGGUUGUCCCGGUUUAAGCGUGUAGGCUGGUUUUCCAGGCAAAUCCGGAAAAUCAAGGCUGAGGCGUGAUGACGAGGCACUACGGUGCUGAAGCAACAAAUGCCCUGCUUCCAGGAAAAGCCUCUAAGCAUCAGGUAACAUCAAAUCGUACCCCAAACCGACACAGGUGGUCAGGUAGAGAAUACCAAGGCGCUUGAGAGAACUCGGGUGAAGGAACUAGGCAAAAUGGUGCCGUAACUUCGGGAGAAGGCACGCUGAUAUGUAGGUGAAGCGACUUGCUCGUGGAGCUGAAAUCAGUCGAAGAUACCAGCUGGCUGCAACUGUUUAUUAAAAACACAGCACUGUGCAAACACGAAAGUGGACGUAUACGGUGUGACGCCUGCCCGGUGCCGGAAGGUUAAUUGAUGGGGUCAGCGCAAGCGAAGCUCUUGAUCGAAGCCCCGGUAAACGGCGGCCGUAACUAUAACGGUCCUAAGGUAGCGAAAUUCCUUGUCGGGUAAGUUCCGACCUGCACGAAUGGCGUAAUGAUGGCCAGGCUGUCUCCACCCGAGACUCAGUGAAAUUGAACUCGCUGUGAAGAUGCAGUGUACCCGCGGCAAGACGGAAAGACCCCGUGAACCUUUACUAUAGCUUGACACUGAACAUUGAGCCUUGAUGUGUAGGAUAGGUGGGAGGCUUUGAAGUGUGGACGCCAGUCUGCAUGGAGCCGACCUUGAAAUACCACCCUUUAAUGUUUGAUGUUCUAACGUGGACCCGUAAUCCGGGUUGCGGACAGUGUCUGGUGGGUAGUUUGACUGGGGCGGUCUCCUCCUAAAGAGUAACGGAGGAGCACGAAGGUUGGCUAAUCCUGGUCGGACAUCAGGAGGUUAGUGCAAUGGCAUAAGCCAGCUUGACUGCGAGCGUGACGGCGCGAGCAGGUGCGAAAGCAGGUCAUAGUGAUCCGGUGGUUCUGAAUGGAAGGGCCAUCGCUCAACGGAUAAAAGGUACUCCGGGGAUAACAGGCUGAUACCGCCCAAGAGUUCAUAUCGACGGCGGUGUUUGGCACCUCGAUGUCGGCUCAUCACAUCCUGGGGCUGAAGUAGGUCCCAAGGGUAUGGCUGUUCGCCAUUUAAAGUGGUACGCGAGCUGGGUUUAGAACGUCGUGAGACAGUUCGGUCCCUAUCUGCCGUGGGCGCUGGAGAACUGAGGGGGGCUGCUCCUAGUACGAGAGGACCGGAGUGGACGCAUCACUGGUGUUCGGGUUGUCAUGCCAAUGGCACUGCCCGGUAGCUAAAUGCGGAAGAGAUAAGUGCUGAAAGCAUCUAAGCACGAAACUUGCCCCGAGAUGAGUUCU